GACGGAGGAUGCAAGCGUUAUCCGGAAUGAUUGGGCGUAAAGCGUCCGCAGGUGGCAGUUCAAGUCUGCUGUCAAAGACCGGGGCUUAACUUCGGAAAGGCAGUGGAAACUGAACAGCUAGAGUAUGGUAGGGGCAGAGGGAAUUCCUGGUGUAGCGGUGAAAUGCGUAGAGAUCAGGAAGAACAUCGGUGGCGAAAGCGCUCUGCUAGGCCGCAACUGACACUGAGGGACGAAAGCUAGGGGAGCGAAUGGG
rnacentral:rRNA from 1 species